CCCUAGCCCUUGCUGCUGCCUUAGCAAAUUCCACCUUGAAGGAGGAAGAAAGCCCAAAGCCUAAUCGCAAGAGUUGGAGAGACGACUCUGAUAUUCAACUUCAUCGCCACUGUUCCUCAAUCCUCUCCUCUCCACUCCCCCAUCUCAUCUCAUCUUGCUGCAGCUCACCGUUCCUCUCCACUCGUAGUCAUCCAACCGUCGUCGAUCUACUCGAGUUGCUCCUGCCUUGCUUCGGUUCGAGUAAGUAAAGGCUAUACUCAUGAUUGAUAGAGCUAAGGAUAUCGAUUGUGCACCCUGAAGGUCAAGCGUGGUGAAUCAUUUUUGGUGUUAGCCAUGGGACUGUUAAACUCAGCGGAAUAGGAAUUGGGGUGUGGUUGACCGCGGAUCCGGCGGGAUAUAAAAUGGACGCCUAAAUCGCUGAGUCGGCGAGAUAUAAAAUGGAUGCCAAGACCGUUGAAUCGACGGGAUAUAAAAUGGACGCCUAGACCACUGAUCUGGUGGGAUAUAAAAUGGACACCUAGACCGCUGAUUCAGCGGGAUAUAAGAUGGACGCUAGGUUGGAGGUUUGAUAAUGGGUGGCCCCCGGUUAUGAGAAGUGGUGAGAUGAGCUAGAAGCUAGAUUAGCAGCACAUGAGAACUCUUUUGAUAUCGGGGAUCAGCUCGGAGUACUAGGUAGGGACCUUAGUUAUUUGAUAAGUAUUCUUUCUGUAUAUACGUAUUGAAUGUGUUAUGACCUGAAAUUUUUGCUUAGUUUUAUUUAGUAAUGUGGUUGAGAAAAGAAAAUUACUUUCUUUUGAGAUGUAUAUUCAUAUUAGAGUCUACUAGAUUGGUUUUAUAUUUUUGAGUCUAUGGAAAGCCGGAUUUAUGUGAAUAGUUAUGUGAUAAUGAUUAAUGAAUAUCGAUGAAAUAUAUGGGAAAUUUAGCUGAAA